GAGUUUGAUCAUGGCUCAGAUUGAACGCUGGCGGCAUGCCUUACACAUGCAAGUCGAACGGCAGCACGGGAGCUUGCUCCUGGUGGCGAGUGGCGAACGGGUGAGUAAUGCAUCGGAACGUAUCCUGGAGUGGGGGAUAACGUAGCGAAAGUUACGCUAAUACCGCAUAUUCUGUGAGCAGGAAAGCGGGGGACCUUCGGGCCUCGCGCUCUUGGAGCGGCCGAUGUCGGAUUAGCUAGUUGGUGAGGUAAAGGCUCACCAAGGCGACGAUCCGUAGCAGGUCUGAGAGGAUGAUCCGCCACACUGGAACUGAGACACGGUCCAGACUCCUACGGGAGGCAGCAGUGGGAAUUUUGGACAAUGGGGGCAACCCUGAUCCAGCCAUGCCGCGUGAGUGAAGAAGGCCUCGG
rnacentral:rRNA from 1 species